rnacentral:rRNA from 1 species
UACGUAGGGUGCUAGCGUUGUUCGGAAUCAUUGGGCGUAAAGCGCGUGUAGGUGGUUAGGUAAGUCGAAUGUGAAAUCCCUCGGCUCAACCGAGGAAGUGCAUCCGAAACUCCCUAGCUAGAGGACGGUAGAGGAAGGUGGAAUUCCAAGUGUAGAGGUGAAAUUCGUAGAUAUUUGGAGGAAUACCGGUGGCGAAGGCGGCCUUCUGGGCCGUUCCUGACACUGAGGCGCGAAAGCGUGGGGAGCAAACAGG